CGCAGAACCAGCAGAUGCAUUCAAAACCAGCGUGAAUCUUGUCGCUCGUGUGGCCAACAGCAGAAUUUUACGUCUUUUUCAUGGCCGAUUGAAGGAUUUGUUGAGAAGUACAAGAGAAUGAAAGACAGGGCAGCUCUUUUGAAAGGCAGUUUACAUAAGAAAGUGAUGACCUUUGAAAGAU